CGCUGGCGGCGGGCCUCAUACAUGCAAGUCGAGCGCGAAAGUCCGCAAGGAUGAGUAAAGCGGCGCACGGGUGAGUAACACGUGGAUAAUCUACCCUUUGGAUUGGAAUAACCUGUCGAAAGACGGGCUAAUGCCGAGUACGCACUCGAGGGCGUGAAGCUCUUGAGUGGAAAGAUGGCGCAAGCUAUCGCCGAUGGAUGAGUCUGCGUCCCAUUAGUUAGUUGGUGAGGUAACGGCUUACCAAGACAAUGAUGGGUACCUGGUCUGAGAGGAUGAUCAGGCACACUGGAACUGAAACACGGUCCAGACUCCUACGGGAGGCAGCAGUAGGGAAUAUUGCGCAAUGGACGAAAGUCUGACGCAGCCACGCCGCGUGAGUGAGGAAGGCCUUCGGGUUGUAAAGCUCUGUCGCCUGGGAAAAACGGCUAUUGGGGGAAAGUUCCAGUAGCGUGAUGGUACCAGGAGAGGAAGCACCGGCAAACUCUGUGCCAGCAGCCGCGGUAAUACAGAGGGUGCAAGCGUUGUUCGGAAUUACUGGGCGUAAAGCGUGCGUAGUCGGUAUUGAGAGUCGCGGGUGAAAUCCCAGGGCUUAACCCUGGAACUGCCU
rnacentral:rRNA from 1 species